GUGGGGAAUAUUGGGCAAUGGGCGCAAGCCUGACCCAGCGACGCCGCGUGGGUGAUGAAGGCCUUCGGGUCGUAAAACCCUGUCAUGUGGGACGAAAGGUCCGGGCUCUAACAUAGCCUGGGCUUGACGGUACCGCAGGAGGAAGCCCCGGCCAACUCCGUGCCAGCAGCCGCGGUAAUACGGAGGGGGCGAGCGUUAUUCGGAAUCAUUGGGCGUAAAGGGCAGGUAGGCGGCCGCGUGUGUCCUCUGUGAAAGCCCUCGGCUCAACCGAGGAAUUGCAGGGGAAACUACAUGGCUUGAGUCCGGGAGAGGAGAGUGGAAUUCCCAGUGUAGCGGUGAAAUGCGUAGAUAUUGGGAGGAACACCGGUGGCGAAGGCGGCUCUCUGGACCGGUACUGACGCUGAGCUGCGAAAGCUAGGGGAGCAAACGGGAUUAGAUACCCUUGUAGUCC
rnacentral:rRNA from 1 species